GACGAACGCUGGCGGCGUGCCUAAUACAUGCAAGUCGAACGCUCAAGCGAGGAGCUUGCUCUUCUUGGAUUAGUUGCGAACGGGUGAGUAACGCGUAGGUAACCUGCCUGGUAGCGGGGGAUAACUAUUGGAAACGAUAGCUAAUACCGCAUAAAAUUGAUUAUUGCAUGAUAAUUAAUUGAAAGAUGCACCUGCAUCACUACCAGAUUGACCUGCGUUGUAUUAGCUAGGUUGUGAGGUAACGGCCCACCCAGGCGACCAUACAUAGCCGACCUGAGAGGGUGAUCGGCCCAACCGGGACGGGGACACCGGUCAGACUCCCAAGGGAGGGAGCAGGAGGGGAUUUUUGGCAAGGGGGGGAACCCCUAACGGGGAACGCCGGCGGGGGUAAGAAGGUUCUUGGAUCCGAAAGCCCUGGUGUAAGAGAAGAACGGGAGGGAGAGGGGAAAGUUCACACCGUGACGGUACCUUACCAGAAAGGGACGGCUAACUACGUG
rnacentral:rRNA from 1 species